rnacentral:rRNA from 1 species
GAUGAACGCUGGCGGCGUGCCUAAUACAUGCAAGUCGAGCGAACAGACGAGGAGCUUGCUCCUCUGACGUUAGCGGCGGACGGGUGAGUAACACGUGGAUAACCUACCUAUAAGACUGGGAUAACUUCGGGAAACCGGAGCUAAUACCGGAUAAUAUAUUGAACCGCAUUGUUCAAUAGUGAAAGACGGUUUUGCUGUCACUUAUAGAUGGAUCCGCGCCGCAUUAGCUAGUUGGUAAGGUAACGGCUUACCAAGGCAACGAUGCGUAGCCGACCUGAGAGGGUGAUCGGCCACACUGGAACUGAGACACGGUCCAGACUCCUACGGGAGGCAGCAGUAGGGAAUCUUCCGCAAUGGGCGAAAGCCUGACGGAGCAAUGCCGCGUGAGUGAUGAAGGUCUUCGGAUCUUAAAACUCUGUUAUUAGGGAAGAACAAAUGUGUAAGUAACUAUGCACGUCUUGACGGUACCUAAUCAGAAAGCCACGGCUAACUACGUG